UGGGGAAUUUUGGACAAUGGGCGCAAGCCUGAUCCAGCAAUGCCGCGUGCAGGAAGAAGGCCUUCGGGUUGUAAACUGCUUUUGUACGGAACGAAACGGUCUGCUUUAAUACAGCGGGCUAAUGACGGUACCGUAAGAAUAAGCACCGGCUAACUACGUGCCAGCAGCCGCGGUAAUACGUAGGGUGCGAGCGUUAAUCGGAAUUACUGGGCGUAAAGCGUGCGCAGGCGGUUAUAUAAGACAGUUGUGAAAUCCCCGGGCUCAACCUGGGAAUUGCAUCUGUGACUGUAUAGCUAGAGUACGGUAGAGGGGGAUGGAAUUCCGCGUGUAGCAGUGAAAUGCGUAGAUAUGCGGAGGAACACCGAUGGCGAAGGCAAUCCCCUGGACCUGUACUGACGCUCAUGCACGAAAGCGUGGGGAGCAAACAG
rnacentral:rRNA from 1 species